GAAAUGCGAUGAGUAAUGUGAAUUGCAGAAUUCAGUGAAUCAUCGAAUCUUUGAACGCACAUUGCGCCCGCCAGUAUUCUGGCGGGCAUGCCUGUUCGAGCGUCAUUACAACCCUCAGGCCCCCGGGCCUGGCGUUGGGGAUCGGCGGAAGCCCCCUGCGGGCACAACGCCGUCCCCCAAAUACAGUGGCGGUCCCGCCGCAGCUUCCAUUGCGUAGUAGCUAACACCUCGCAACUGGAGAGCGGCGCGGCCACGCCGUAAAACACCCAACUUCUGAAUGUUGACCUCGAAUCAGGUAGGAACACCCGCUGAACUUAAGC
rnacentral:misc_RNA from 1 species